UGUCAUUCAGUCACUCUUCUGUAAUUUUUCCUCCUCAUCGAAGGCGCUUCCGGGUGAGGUGAGGAGAGAACCUGCAAUAAAGCGGUAGCCUCUCGUGGAUUCUCUUGGGAAUGUGAUUUGUUCACUUGUUUUGUAUGAGUGAUUUCGCAUUCCUUGAUUUGCAUUCUCUUGUGAGACCCAAUUUCCUUCUCAUCUUCUUUGUGAGAGCUUCUAUCAAUGGCGGAAAGGAGAUUGCGCGUCGGUUACGCCCUCGCAUCCAAGAAGCAGAAUAGCUUUAUUCAGGACUCGCUGGUCACCCUCGCUAAAUCUCGCGGCGUGGACCUCGUGCGGGUUGAUACAGAGCGCUUGCUUUUGGAUCAGGGUCCCUUCGACUGUGUCCUUCACAAAUUGUACGGAGACGACUGGAAGAGGCAGUUGCGCGAGUACAAGGCGGAAUACCCUAAUGCGCUGAUUCUCGACUCGCCCGAGGCGAUUGAGAGACUCCAUAACCGGAUUUCCAUGCUCCAGGUGGUGUCCGAGUUGACAAUUGAGGACCGGGAGGAGACCUUCGGGAUUCCCAAGCAGAUUGUCAUAUACGACAGUGAAACUCUGUUUGAUCGGCAGGCGUGGGAGACUUUGAAGUUUCCUGUGAUUGCGAAGCCUUUGGUGGCGGACGGAAGCGCCAAGUCGCACAAAAUGGCUCUGGUUUAUAACCAUGAUAGCUUGAACAAGCUGAAGCCGCCGAUUGUGUUGCAGGAGUUUGUGAACCAUGGGGGAGUCAUUUUUAAGGUGUAUGUGGUGGGACAGUACGUUAAAUGUGUCAAGAGGAAGUCCUUGCCGGAUGUUUCAGAGGAUAAGUUGGCGGUUUCAGGGGACUUGUUGUCUUUCUCUCAGGUCUCGAAUUUGGCCACUAAUGAGAGGAUUGAUGAUAUGUAUUACAAGAUGAUGCGGUUGGACCACACUGCGAUGCCCCCGCUGACCUUCAUUACCGAGAUAGCUCGAGGUUUGAGGCACUCAUUGAAGCUGAACCUUUUUAAUUUCGAUGUGAUUCGGGACUCUAGAAAUGAGAAUCGGUAUCUCAUCGUUGACAUUAACUACUUCCCUGGGUAUGCUAAGAUGCCCGGUUACGAGACUGUGUUGACGGACUUUUUCUGUGAUAUAAUGAACAUGAAACAGAAGGAAGAGGUAGAGAGUCCGGAUGAGAUGGACAGCUCAGUGAACACUGGUAUGGAUAGUGUCCAGAUGCGAUGUAACGGGGAUGAUAUGAGAAAAAUAUUAAGCAAUACUUGUGGUGAUGGGGAUGACAGCAGCCUUCAAGUUUCAGCUCUUUGCAGGGAAGAGAAUGAGAGUUCUCUUCAAGUCUGAUAAAUUGUGUCAAGGGACCUUCUAUCAUGAUGACCAGUUGGUGAUUUUGGGUAACCAGAAUUUGCAUAAUGGACCUAUGCACCCAUUGGUUGAUAGACAUGAGUAGAACAUUCGGUUUAAAUAGCAGUUGGUACAGUGGUGAAAUGAAUAGCUUGUUUGUGCCUAGAUUAACCUCUUAACAUGUAUAUUCCAUUAAUCAUUGCUGGAGAUAGAUCACCAUUUUGCAGAGGCUUAACAGAGGCUGAUGGCUCAGCUCUCCAAACUCUCCCUUAUUCAUAACCCAUGAAGUCCUGCCUGGUAUAACCUCAUAGGAGAGGGAGUUGGCAAGCAUGGAGAACGAUUUUUGCGCAAUAUCUGUUAUCACUUUCAUUACAAAUGUCAUUUCCCGGGAUCCCCCCAGCUAAUCUAUGUACCAAACAUGGAGGGUGCUUUUAGUUUUACAGCCAUUGUUCUAGGAGUCUUACAUGGUUCUAACAUCUUUAUCACCAACAUUCCAAGUCGUGCGAAGUAUUUACUGAAAUCCUGUACCAGGAUAUGUUGAAAGCAUUGCAGAUAUUCAAUAUUUGGUCUGUAUGUUUUGCAGUUUCCAUUUUUCUUUUUCUCCGCGGAUUUUUCCGUAUGCUAAGGUUCCUUUUGCUCAUGUACCUGUUCUCCUUUUGAGAAGUAGAUGAUUGUGGGAUGGCACUUUGGGCCAUGCAAAUGUGAUUGAAAAAAUUGUUCUAUGAUGUUUUUAUCAAUUUAAUCUACUGUUUACAGUAGGUAAUCUAUCAUAAUGAAUUUGUCU